rnacentral:rRNA from 1 species
UAGCUAGUUGGUGAGGUAAAGGCUUACCAAGGCGACGAUCUGUAGCGGGUCUGAGAGGAUGAUCCGCCACACUGGAACUGAGACACGGUCCAGACUCCUACGGGAGGCAGCAGUGGGGAAUUUUGGACAAUGGGGGCAACCCUGAUCCAGCCAUGCCGCGUGAGUGAAGAAGGCCUUCGGGUUGUAAAGCUCUUUCGGCCGGGAAGAAAUCGCAUGGGCCAAUACCCUGCGUGGAUGACGGUACCGGAAUAAGAAGCACCGGCUAACUACGUGCCAGCAGCCGCGGUAAUACGUAGGGUGCGAGCGUUAAUCGGAAUUACUGGGCGUAAAGCGUGCGCAGGCGGUUUUGUAAGACAGGCGUGAAAUCCCCGGGCUUAACCUGGGAACUGCGUUUGUGACUGCAAGGCUAGAGUACGGCAGAGGGGGGUGGAAUUCCACGUGUAGCAGUGAAAUGCGUAGAGAUGUGGAGGAACACCAAUGGCGAAGGCAGCCCCCUGGGUCGAUACUGACGCUCAUGCACGAAAGCGUGGGUAGCAAACAGGAUUAGAUACCCUGGUAGUCCACGCCCUAAACUAUGUCAACUAGGUGUUGGGUGGGUAAAACCAUUUAGUACCGUAGCUAACGCGUGAAGUUGACCGCCUGGGGAGUACGGCCGCAAGGUUAAAACUCAAAGGAAUUGACGGGGACCCGCACAAGCGGUGGAUGAUGUGGAUUAAUUCGAUGCAACGCGAAAAACCUUACCUACCCUUGACAUGCCAGGAACUUGCCAGAGAUGGCUUGGUGCCCGAAAGGGAGCCUGGACACAGGUGCUGCAUGGCUGUCGUCAGCUCGUGUCGUGAGAUGUUGGGUUAAGUCCCGCAACGAGCGCAACCCUUGUCGUUAAUUGCCAUCAUUUGGUUGGGCACUUUAACGAGACUGCCGGUGACAAACCGGAGGAAGGUGGGGAUGACGUCAAGUCCUCAUGGCCCUUAUGGGUAGGGCUUCACACGUCAUACAAUGGUCGGUACAAAGGGUUGCCAAGCCGCGAGGCGGAGCCAAUCCCAGAAAGCCGAUCGUAGUCCGGAUUGCAGGCUGCAACUCGCCUGCAUGAAGUCGGAAUCGCUAGUAAUCGUGGAUCAGCAUGUCACGGUGAAUACGUUCCCGGGUCUUGUACACACCGCCCGUCACACCAUGGGAGCGGGUUCCGCCAGAAGUAGGUAGCCUAACCGCAAGGGGGGCGCUUACCACGGCGGGGUUCGUGACUGGGGUGAAGUCGUAACAAGGUAGCCGUAGGGGAACCUGCGGCUG